rnacentral:rRNA from 1 species
AUGAACGCUGGCGGCGUGCCUAAUACAUGCAAGUCGAGCGAACAGAUGAGGAGCUUGCUCCUCUGACGUUAGCGGCGGACGGGUGAGUAACACGUGGAUAACCUACCUAUAAGACUGGGAUAACUUCGGGAAACCGGAGCUAAUACCGGAUAAUAUAUUGAACCGCAUGGUUCAAUAGUGAAAGACGGUUUUGCUGUCACUUAUAGAUGGAUCCGCGCCGCAUUAGCUAGUUGGUAAGGUAACGGCUUACCAAGGCAACGAUGCGUAGCCGACCUGAGAGGGUGAUCGGCCACACUGGAACUGAGACACGGUCCAGACUCCUACGGGAGGCAGCAGUAGGGAAUCUUCCGCAAUGGGCGAAAGCUUGACGGAGCAACGCCGCGUGAGUGAUGAAGGUCUUCGGAUCGUAAAACUCUGUUAUUAGGGAAGAACAAAUGUGUAAGUAACUAUGCACGUCUUGACGGUACCGAAUCAGAAAGCCACGGCUAACUACGU